UAUACGAAAGACAAACUAACUGUUCACACCUGUUCAUUGACGCCGGAAAGGACGGUGCUGUCCUCACUUUAUUUUUUUUUGCGGCUCUGCCAUUCACUCUCUCUUCCUCCCUUCAUCGGCAGUGAGAGGUCGUUUCUGCCCUUGCUUUGUACACGUAUUGAUCAGUUUGUCCAAGUUUCCACGUGUAGUGAUCAAUUACCAUACACCUAUACCUAUCGGGCUUGAUGUCUUUCUAUGGUAAACCGAUGCAUCGAAUUCUCAUUCUAUUCACCAACAAAGGUAGCUAUUUUCUUCUUGCUUUUAUGAGGCUUUACCGAUUCCGAUCCCGGCCUCGACCUCCAUCAAGGUCAACACCCCCUGUUCGCUGAUAUCAGGCUUAUCCAUCGAUUGCAAUCAACUCAGCAGAAUCUUGAUUCUGUUUGCUCUGCAAUUUCACAUCUAGGUGCUUAAUUACAACAACUUCAAGUGAGUGCCCACAAACAUAGAGUUAUCUCUACUGGUUUUCUGGUUUUCUGUUAAGGGAAAGAGAUACGUUGAGUCCGCAACUCUGAUCGUGACUCUUUGACAGCCCAUUAGCUUUGUCUCCGUCGAUAGUGCGAAGUUUUCAGAACUGGAAGGGGUGCUUUAUCUGCUUUCAACGUGCUGGCAACAGUGGCUCGGUUUUACUGGUAGUUGAUCGUUUGGCGGUAAACAGUGAUUAGUUCUGUACCUGCCUGGGAUUUAAGUGGAGAAACAGAGGAGGGACUGUGUUAUAGUCACUGAGCUUGCGAAGCCGCUGAUUGCCUACUGCAUUUCGCACAGUUUAAAAGGCUGGAAAAGUGUUCUUUUACUGCAUCAGGCCACAGUUUGUGACGAUUACCUUGGUGUAAGGGCGAUUGAAUCCUCUCUCUGCCUCGACAGCUCUCUUAUCUCCUGUCGCCAAAGCACUCUCUCUUUCUUUGUUAACUCUGUAAGAAAAGAAAUAGAAAUACGUUUUAGCUCAAAGUCUCAAACUUGCUACUGCUCAGUUUAAUCUUUUGAGGUAUAGUUGGUAAAUUUGGAACUUUUCUUUGAAAUAGAUGUUGUGCUUGAUUUAAUGUAUGCAAUUGGGCUUGCAAAUUUUGUGCCAUUGCUUUGUGUAUUUCUCCUAUUUCAAGUCUUUAAUGAAGUCAGUGCUUGCAGAUCACUGCUGGUUAUGUAAAUAUUUGUACAAUGAAUGUAUAAAUUUGAGCAAGUAAACAAACCCGCGGCAUCGCGCGGGAGGCAUUAUCUAGUAUAUAGGAUUCAGCCCACAAUCUCUUCCGAACCAGUUUUGGAGACUCUCACUGCUCUCUCUCUACAUUUUCUCUCUCUAGCUUUCUCUCUCUAAAACUUUGGCGGAUCAUAACUUUUGAUCCGUAACUCCGAUUCAAGAUCCGCGAAAGGCUACAGAUUCGUCUUGAUGUCCUCUUUCUAUCCAUAGAGGUUUGAGUUAGAUCCAACGGUUAUUUCUAGAAGGCUCGUUUUAGGAGGCUCGGUUUACGAUCGGUGUUUUAGGAGGCGAUUCGUAUUGUCGAGAGAAGUACUUAGGUUUUGACGAGCCGAAGUGGGUUGGACGAGCCUAGAAGGAAGAGCUUAUUUACAUUUUGCUUUGUAACACUCACACCUCAGAUUCGGGGUCAGGUGCUUAAAAUCCACAGACACCGGGUCUGGGGCGUGACAAUCAUGCACAUAUUUGU